UACGGGGGGGGCAAGCGUUGUUCGGAAUUACUGGGCGUAAAGGGCUUGUAGGCGGCCAACUAAGUCAGACGUGAAAUCCCUCGGCUUAACCGGGGAACUGCGUCUGAUACUGGAUGGCUUGAGUUUGGGAGAGGGAUGCGGAAUUCCAGGUGUAGCGGUGAAAUGCGUAGAUAUCUGGAGGAACACCGGUGGCGAAGGCGGCAUCCUGGACCAACACUGACGCUGAGGAGCGAAAGCCAGGGGAGCAAACGGG
rnacentral:rRNA from 1 species